GUCUUUUUCACCAGAAAUAGGAACUUAACCAAAACUGUAUUCUUUAGAGUAUAGGUCAUCAUUCUCAUUAUAACAUUGAAAAAGUAAAAAAAAAAAUCCAGUUUAUUAUUAUCCCUUAAUCACAUUAUCUCAUCACAGAAUUGGAGGAUAAUAGGAUCAUGACAUCCAUCCGAGAAGUAUAAGGAUGUCCAAUUCUUUCAUGUUACCAAGGAGGAAACUGAGACCUAGAGAAAGGGAAGGAAUUUCAUGUUAUCCAGUGAUGAUUCCAAAUCAUUGAAUCUUGAACAUCC
rnacentral:lncRNA from 1 species